ACCUGAUGGUGUGGACAUUUAUGUAAUAGGUCCCUAAAACACUCCCAGGUCUCGAAGAACUGUUCCCCAUCCAACUGUGAGAAACUAGUAAUGACCCUCUUAAACU